UAAACUCUCCCCAUGACCCACUAGGAAACAAGCUUCAGAAUUCCAAAACAUAUACCUUGGCAUGAGACUGGUGGCAAACAUCACAUGGAUACUUACUGAAUUAAGACAGAAGGACAGUUGAGAGAAGAUCAGUGUGCAGCUCUCGGCUACUUCUCCAGCACUCUGCUUGCCAUGUCUGUCUCCAGGCUCCCUGUCACAAUGACCAUGGACUCCUCUAAACUGUAAGCAACUCCCCAAUGCUCCCUCUUACAAGAGUUGCCAUGGUCCUGAUUUCUUUGCACAGCAAUAGAACAAUAACUAAGACAGGGAGAAAGAACAAUGUUGCACUGAACUGGAAAUGAGAGGUUAAUACUGAGUACAUUCUUCUGAAACUAUUACGCACAUGAUACAACAUGAAACAAGACAGUAAUUCAAAUGUAACCUGGGAUCUCAUGGGUUUUCAAGAACAAGGUCUACAGUUCAAGAAGACAGAAACAUAGGCUAAGAUGUGUAAGCAAAGAACUCUGAAAGCUUAUGUUGAAUUGGAAGGAAUGAUAUACACUCAAAAGCCAACUACCUUUAAAAAGACAAGAUACUAGCUAGGCACAGCAGUGCACAUCUUUACUCCUAGCACUUACUAGACAGGCAGGCAGAUCUCUGAAGUUCCAGGUCAGCCAGCCUCAAAAAAAACAAAGAAAACAAAACCAAACAGACAAAACAGACAAAGAGACAUACACACACAAAUCCACACCCACAACGCACUAUGCAUUUCCCAACGCUAUGCUUUGAAUAGAACCCCAAACAAUGAACAACCUAGGUGGCAGUGUUCCUUGUACCUGUACGGUGAUGCUGAAACACCAUUUUUCCCUAAAAGAAACCAAGAUUAUAAGACAUAGGGCUGAUUCCAGAUCUAGCACAGGAAAUAUACAGAGGAAGCCGAAACACUGUUAUACCAAAGAGCUGCAUAACUAAAGACAGCUAAAAAGACAUGUAUAAGAACCAGGAGCUUGGGGGCUGGAGAGAUGGCUCAGCGGUUAAGAGCACUGACUGUUCUUCCGAAGGUCCUGAGUUCGAAUCCCAGCAACCACAUGGUGGCUCACAACCAUCCGUAAUGAGAUCUGACGCCC
rnacentral:lncRNA from 1 species